CUAGUUUGUGUCGAGUGGACGUUAAACCCCAUUUCUCUCUCUCUCUUUUUAAACUGGACACAAGUACAAAUUGGGUGAUUUUUGGUGGUUUUCAAACAAAGUUUUGAUAUUGAAUUACUGUGAAAGAAAUUAAUGCUAAAUACACAAUGUCUGUCGAUUAACAUCCAUUGAUGGGCUUUACAAUCCAAGUUAAUCCAAGCCAGUUGAUUAUCUACGGUUUGGUUUUAUUAAUUAGAUAUUAAAUAUGCAUUAGGUAAGAUUAGAUAAAUAACUAACAGGUCUCGAUUUUAAUAGUUAAAUAUUAGAUAAUGAAAAAGGAAUAUAUUGAAAAUUUCAGUCAAAUUACUUUAUUCUGAGCGAAGUUCUGACUGUUUGAAGAAUAGUGUUGUCUUGAUUAUCAUUGCUACCAUUGUUAUGAUAAUAAACAAAAUGUUGAUUAUUGGUUUUUAAAUUAAAUUAUUAAAUGGCAAUCGUGUUUCAAUCCGUCCGAUGGUCUAGAGAGUUGAUUAUGGGCAUAUUUAGCUCUUAGAUAAUGCAUUUUGAAGUGUGGAUAAAGUUGUGAGAAGUUAGAUAUUGUACAAAAUCUGCAAAUGACGAUCAGUGGUUUCAAAUCAAGUCUGUAUUUAUUAUUCAUCUUCAAUAAUCAGAUGUUAUCUCAUUUGGAUCACAGUGUAUAUGCCUGAUUUUUACGCUCUAGCAGUGGCGGAUACAGGGGUGCUUUGCGGCUCUCCCAAUAAAAUUGUAAAAUUUAAGGUACAAUGGAUCUGGACCAUGGAGGUGUAUAUAUAUAUACACCUCUAUGAUCUGGACGCAAAUAUCAUCCCAACCAAGAAGUAGAAUAAUAAGAGAAUAUUUUAUACUAUUAUUUAUGGAGGGCCCAGGCCUGUAGCUGCCUUCCCAACUUAAUAGUGCUAAAACUGCUAUUUCAUAUUUAUUGCAUUAUAUGUAUGAUUUCUGAAUUUGAAAAAUAUUUAUUUUAAUGUUUAUUCUUAUUUAUGGGAUGAAUAUUGAUGUUGUUUGUGAAUCUCAUACCGGUCGUUAUUUAGAUAUUAUUGUUGGUCCUCCUUAUAUUGAUGUUAUUGGCCUGUCCUUAUUUAGAUGUUAUUGCUGGUCCUUAUUAAUGUUAUUGACCGGUCCUUAUUUAGAUGUCAUUGCCGGUCCUUAUACAUGUCAUUGGCUGGUCCUUAUUUAGAUGUUAUAUCCGAUCCUUAUAUAUAGGCUAUAGAUGUCAUUGACCAGUCCUUAUUUAGAUGUUAUAUCCGAUCCUUAUAUAUAGGCUAUAGAUGUCAUUGACCGGUCCUUAUUUAGAUGUUGGUCCAUAGAUGUCAUUGUCGGAUCGUAUUUAGAUGUCAUUGACCGGUCCUUAUUUAGAUGUUAUUGCCAGUCUUUAUAUUAUAGAUGUCAUUGGCCAGUCCUUAUUUAGAUGUUAUAAUAUAGGCAGUCCUAAUUUAGAAUCGGCCUACACAUAUUUUUAAAGUUUUCAUCUGCAAUGUCUUGUAAAUAGUAAAAUAAAAUCAUAGUAAGAUAUUUAAUUGUAAAUAAUACAAUAUUAAUACAUCACCAGGGGCCUGUUUCACAAAAUUUUAACUAAGAUAAAAUCCAAAUUGUAGUAAUUUGAUUGGAUAAUAUUAGAUUGAUUUUAGUGCUUAGCCAAUCAAAACUGAAGUAUCUACUAAAUAAUAUUUGGAUUUUAUCUUUAGUUAAGGUUUCGAGAAACAGUGUCCAGAGCAUACAUUAUGUAAUAAAUAUUACAAUUAUUAAAAUUAGGAUGAAAAAUAGGUUUUUGAGAUAUAAAAAACAAAUUGCUUAAUUCCACAUUAAUUUCUUUGUAUAUCAAAUUGUUUGUUCAUUUAUUUAUAUCACUUGGUGCCUUGAAAAGACUAAGAGCAAAAGUGAUAUAAUUCAUUCUGGUAUGUCCCUGAACAUCCCCAAACCGUUCCAAAUUACUGCUGCCUAUUCUGCCUGUGUCAUGUAAAUAGCUGUCUGUAAUAUAGGACGCUUUAUUAGUUCUUGUGAUAUAUAACCAGUACAAGAUUAAGACUCUGCUGGUCCUAAGGCACAUUUUGAUAGGUGGCCUGAAAAUACAAAUAUUCUGGGUUCACUGAUAAAAGGAAGAAAGUUAAAUUUAACAAAAGAAAAUUUAUUACAAAGCAAAUCAGAACCAAUUCCUUUUUUUGUGACAGUACUGUAAUUACUAUACGAUUACAGUAGUUAGAUAACAACUUUUUUUACUUUAUUUUUUGUGGCCUGAAUUUUUGACUGAACGUAUGGCACAUGCCUUAUUUGUCGAAGGGUUAAUUCGGCACUAGUGAAUUCCACAGCUAUUCAUGUUUCAUGUGACUGGCCGUUUGGGGCAGUCUAAUUGAGCACUAGCUGAGGAAAUAAAGAUUCUGCCUCAUCAGUAAAAGUAAUUAUAUCUCUUGUUGUAGGUUAGUUUUAUUUUAAAGGGUAAUUCCCACCUAAUGUUGUGAAGUCCAUGUUAGUGAUAUUUAAAGAAUUCUGUAUAGUUUUCACCUAAAACUUGUGCCACUUCCCACAUAAAGCACAUCAUUAUCAAAUAUUUUAUCCAGCAACAGUAAGCCAUGUUUUCAUGGAAAAAUACAUCUUGUAUUCUUCUACUGUCCCGUCUAAAUAUUAAGGCCACCUGCAGAUUCUGUCAAGGUCACGAGAUGUAAACAGGGCUAGCAUUAACCCUAACCCUAGCCCUUACCCUAACCCACAAUCCUCAACAACAAUCAUGUGCCCUAACACUGUUUACAUCUUGUGACCAUGACAAAAUCUGCAGUGACUUUAAUAAUUAGAUCUGACCAAAUAGGGUCCCCAUGCAUAUGAACAACAAGUAUGAUAAUACUAUAUGGAACAAGAACCAAACAUGACAUCAUUGUCGCCAUCUUGGAAUUGUGAUGUCAUAUCAAAAGUUAAUCUCUGGCAUCGAUUCACAAUUGUCAAAGGAACAAACAUGUCAAGUUUCAUGUCAAUCAUACUUGAAAUGGACGAACCUUGCGAUUUUUUUGAAGAGCGUCACCCACAACUAGAUGAACAACAAGAUGAGUAGCAGUUGGAGUCAGGUUUCUGGUCCAAUUAUCUCUUUAAAGGCAUUUAUAAAUCCUGAAUUUAAAUUGGCAUUACUUAUCUUGUAUAUUUUAGUUAUUUUUGUUAAGUAUAUAAAUAUGUUUAUUUCUCACGAGUGUUUGUAGAUCUAUAUAUGUGAAUAAAUGUUAACAACAAUCA